AUGGCGAGCCGCUGGCUCUUGUCCCUCUGGCUCUGCCUCCUCCUCACAGUGGCUUCGGCCAUCGAUGUGGAGCCCCCUGUAGAUUUCCCCCUACCUCCAAAAGCCAACUGCUACAGGUCUGUGACAGAGACGCCGAAAAAGUGCGCGGGCCAGGUCCUCGUGGCUCUCGUAUUCGGCGAUGUACACAUCACCAAGGACUGCUGCGAGGUGCUCCGCAGGGUUGGCGAUGAAACCUGCAUCAUCAACUUCAUGUGUGCCUCCAUCGGCUAG
rnacentral:rRNA from 1 species